rnacentral:rRNA from 4 species
GGCUACUACAUCCAAGGAAGGCAGCAGGCGCGCAAAUUACCCAAUCCCGAUUCGGGGAGGUAGUGACAAUAAAUACUGAUACAGGGCUCUUUUGGGUCUUGUAAUUGGAAUGAGUACAAUUUAAUUCCCUUAACGAGGAACAAUUGGAGGGCAAGUCUGGUGCCAGCAGCCGCGGUAAUUCCAGCUCCAAUAGCGUAUAUUAAAGUUGUUGCAGUUAAAAAGCUCGUAGUUGAACCUUGGGCCUGGCUGGCCGGUCCGCCUCACCGCGUGCACUGGUCCGGCCGGGCCUUUCCCUCUGGGGAGCCGCAUGCCCUUCGCUGGGCGUGUCGGGGAACCAGGACUUUUACUUUGAAAAAAUUAGAGUGUUCAAAGCAGGCUUAUGCUCGGAUACAUUAGCAUGGAAUAAUAGAAUAGGACGUGCGGUUCUAUUUUGUUGGUUUCUAGGACCGCCGUAAUGAUUAAUAGGGACAGUCGGGGGCAUCAGU